UACGGGGGGGGCAAGCGUUGUUCGGAAUUACUGGGCGUAAAGGGCUCGUAGGUGGCCAACUAAGUCAUACGUGAAAUCCCUCGGCUUAACCGGGGAACUGCGUCUGAUACUGGAUGGCUUGGAGGUUGGGAGAGGGAUGCGGAAUUGCCAGGUGUACGCGGAUGAAAUGGCGUAGAGAUCAUGAGGAAGACCAGUGGACGGA
rnacentral:rRNA from 1 species